AGUGGCGGACGGGUGAGUAAUACGUGGGUAACCUACCCUAAAAUUGGGAAUAUCUUACUUAAUAGUUUGGUAAUACCAGAUAGUAUAAUAGAAAUGAAAGGUGCGUUUUAAGAUGGGCCCGCGCUCUAUUAGCUAGUUGGUAGGGUAAUGGCCUACCAAGGCUCCGAUGGAUAGCCGGCCUGAGAGGGCGAACGGCCACACUGGGAUUGAGAUACGGCCCAGACUCCUACGGGAGGCAGCAGUCGGGAAUUUUGGGCAAUACCCGCAAGGGUGACCCAGCGAUACCACGUGAGUGAUGAAGUUCUUUGGAAUGUAAAGCUCUGUCAGGGGAUGAGUGACUGUCCCCAGAGGAAGCUCCGGCCAACUCCGUGCCAGCAGCCGCGGUAAUACGGGGGGAGCAAGCGUUGCCCGGAAUCACUGGG
rnacentral:rRNA from 1 species